AUGUAUUUGUCUAUCAGUGAGUAUUAUUCAGUCCUGCCAUUUGUAACAACGUGAGUAGGACAGCAAGCUGAGUAAGCUCAGCCAGACACAGUAUGCUGUCUGAUCUUACCUGAGGAAGCUAAGACAGUGAAAUAGGUGGGCAUGGAAAAUAGAACCUUGCUUCCCAGGGGCAGGGGGAAUGGAGAAAUGCUGCUCAAAGAGUACAAAGCUUCGUUGAUGUGAGCAGAGUUAAGUUCUGAAGAGCUGGUACACAGCCUGUGGAUUGACAGUUUGUAAUGCUGUGCUUUCUACUUGGAGUUUGCCAGGAGAGUAGUUCUCAACAUACACCUACAGAGCCUUAGCUAUGUGGAAAGACAUGUUAAUGAGCUUGACUCUGGUGAGCAGCAUUUGUAGAUAGAACUGUUGUCCUGUACACUUUCGGUAUGAAAUCCAGUAGCCAAAGAGGAACCCACAUUUGCCUUCUGUGUGUACAAAACAGAUCGGUGUGGCUCAGUUGGGGAAAUAAUGGGAGUGGUGCUGGUCAGUCCCUGUGCGGUGGGAGGUUGGCUCUUUGGGGUGAAGGUUACUAAGUCAGAUCACGUUUAUACCACACAGAGGGAUCUGGCUCCUCUGGGUCCACUCUGUGUCUUCCAAAGAAUCCCUUUCUGUUGCUGUGUAGACCUUCCCUGAGCCUCAUGUCUUGGUCAGGGGCCAUGUUUCAAGUCUUGGUCUCCAGAGAUUUGAACAUCAGGGACAGUUGGUUUGU